GAUGAACGCUAGCGAUAGGCUUAACACAUGCAAGUCGAGGGGCAGCACAAGGUAGCUUGCUAUCUGGGUGGCGACCGGCGCACGGGUGCGUAACGCGUAUGCAACUUGCCCUAUACAGGAGGAUAACCCGUCGAAAGACGGACUAAUACUGCGUAUGCUCACAACUUGGCAUCAAGUGGUGAGGAAAGAAAUUCGGUAUAGGAUAGGCAUGCGUCCCAUUAGCUUGUUGGUGAGGUAACGGCUCACCAAGGCAACGAUGGGUAGGGGAAUUGAGAGGUUUAUCCCCCACACUGGUACUGAGACACGGACCAGACUCCUACGGGAGGCAGCAGUGAGGAAUAUUGGUCAAUGGGCGCGAGCCUGAACCAGCCAAGUCGAGUGAAGGAUGACUGUCUUAUGGAUUGUAAACUUCUUUUAUACGGGAAUAACAAGAGUCACGUGUGACUCCCUGCAUGUACCGUAUGAAUAAGCAUCGGCUAACUCCGUG
rnacentral:rRNA from 1 species